CCACCCAAGGCUGAACGCCAUUAAAGCAGAGCCGCAAGAGCUCUUGACAUCACACCAAAGCCCCUCCUGCACGCCCUCCCCUACCCCGCUCCCCCAGAGCCAGCAUCUCCUCUGGCGAGCCGCCUGCACAGCUACCCGGCGAGGGGGUGGAGCGGGGGAGGGCGAGCAGCAGCCCCCCAGCUGCAUAUAGCAAGAACGCCGCCUCCUCAGCCAGCCGGAGCUCCCUUUUGGAGGGGGUCCCCCAAGCUCCCGUGCAGUGUGUGCAACCACCCCCUGCCCCGAAGGGAGAGGAAAGCGCCCGGAAAGCCAGGAAGGAGCCCGAGGGGGAGGGGUAGAAAGGGAGGCGAGGGGGCGAGAGCUACGGAGCAAGGCGCUCAGAGGCACGGCAAAGCCCCCAGUGAAAUGCAUUACAGCUGAGGUGACCCAGCCAGCUCCCACCCCGCUCCCCGGCGGGAUCCCAGCCGCGGGAGCAGCCGCCGCCUAGCGCAGAGCAGAGCAGGCUCCGGUGCCCGCUCGCACACGCAGCCAGGCGCGCAGCCGGGCCGCAGGCGAGGGGGGAGGCCGAGGAAGGAUGGCAAUGUCUCUGAUCCAGGCGUGCCGCAGCCUGGCCCUCUCAACAUGGCUGCUCUCCUUCUGCUUCGUGCAUCUGCUCUGCCUGGACUUCACGGUGGCCGAGAAAGAGGAGUGGUACACGGCCUUCGUGAACAUCACCUACGCCGAGCCGGCGCCCGGCAGCCCGGAGCUGCGCAGCGAGAAGAGCGAGUGCGGGCGCUACGGGGAGCACUCGCCCAAGCAGGAUGCCCGGGGCCAGGUGGUGAUGACCGCCUCCGCCCACGACCGGCUGGCCUGCGACCCCCACACCCGCUUCGCCGCCCCGGGCCAGGGCAAGAGCUGGGUCGCGCUGAUCCCCAAGGGCAACUGCACGUACAAGGAUAAGAUCCGGCACGCCGCCGCCCAGAACGCCUCGGCCGUGGUGAUCUUCAACGUGGGCUCCAGCAGCGCCAACGAGACCAUCACCAUGCCGCACGCAGGUGUAGAAGAUGUUGUAGCAAUAAUGAUUCCUGAGCCUAAAGGAAAAGAGAUAGUGAGUCUGCUGGAGAGGAAUGUUACUGUAAUGAUGUAUAUAACAAUUGGAACACGCAACUUGCAGAAAUACGUCAGCCGUACCUCAGUGGUGUUUGUCUCCAUCUCCUUCAUCGUGUUGAUGAUCAUCUCCCUGGCUUGGCUGGUCUUCUAUUAUAUCCAGAGAUUCCGAUAUGCAAAUGCCAGAGACAGAAACCAGCGCCGUCUUGGAGAUGCUGCAAAGAAAGCAAUCAGCAAGCUGCAGGUCAGAACAAUCAGGAAAGGUGACAAGGAAACUGAGCCAGAUUUUGAUAACUGUGCAGUUUGUAUUGAAGGUUACAAGCCCAAUGAUGUUGUCAGGAUCUUACCAUGCCGGCAUCUUUUUCAUAAAUCUUGCGUAGACCCGUGGCUGCUAGACCAUCGCACCUGCCCUAUGUGUAAAAUGAACAUUCUAAAAGCUCUAGGGAUUCCGCCAAAUGCGGAUUGCAUAGAUGAUAUACCUCCAGAUUUUGAAGCUUCCAUAGGAGGACCACCAACUAAUCAGAUUACAGGAGCUAGUGAUAUAACCGUGAAUGAAAGCUCUGUAGCUCUGGAUCCUCCUGUCCGGACUGUGGGAGUACUACAAGUCAUCCAGGAUGCAGAUCCUCUUCCCCAGGUUGGGGAGGGUAACUUCACAACAAGUAGUGAACAGGAGCCAGCAGUCAGCAGUGAUUCUGAUAUAUCAUUGAUUAUGGCGAUGGAGGUGGGACUGUCUGAUGUGGAGCUUUCCACUGACCAAGACUGCGAAGAGGUGAAAUCCUGAAAAACAAGCAGAAAACCCUACUAAACUAAAGGUUGCUGACCUUGUUCAGUAUUCUGCAGCACCAUUCCCAGAAGCCAUUGAGCCGAUCAGAGACUGUGACUUCACCUCUGGGGAAGGCCCAGGCUUGGGCAGCCAUGUAAUGCAGAGAUUGUUACUGAGGGGGUUGUUUCUCCUUUGGAUAAGCAGUAACCUCUGCAGCUCUGUGUAACUUAGGAAGCCUGAAGACUCUUCAGGGACCAGCAGUUGAAGAUGUGAAUUUGGGCAGACAGAGCCCACACUGUGAAUUUUUCAUGGUUUUUGUGGGUUUAAUUAAGCUACAUUCAAAAAGACCAGUUGAGCGCUUGAACCAUGUAAAAUGUGCAUAGACAAAACCCUGCACUUGGGGGAAAAAAUGCACUCACAGGAUACCCAAUUUACACAUGCAAAUGCUAGUUUGUGAACACAAAUAUGGGUCUUGUGCCAUGUGCCAGCUGUGCAUCAAUUCUCCCUGGCUCACCCAUACUGCAAGGGGCUGAAAAAUUGACAUGAAAUGUUACUUUUUUUCUGAUUUACGGUAGUUUUAGAACUUGGGGAAGCACUGGGACAAUCAUAGGUCAAUAAUUUGUAGACAGAAUAAAUUGAUUUAAUCUUCCUGGUCUUUACAGUAUUGAAUCCACAUGUGUAUGUGCACAGACAGAAUAUGAUUUUUAAGAAUGAAUUGUAAUGAAAACAGCGGGAGAUAGCAAUUUAGUCAGUUUUUGAUUUAGAGAUAGUGACACAAAAAAGCUAGUUUAAUUGAAAACUAUUGAAUUUGUACAUGGGGAAAGCAAGGAGGAGGGCUUGGUUCCUAUCACCAAGGUGAUAGCGUUGUUAGGAAGUGGACCUAGGACCUUUAUAGGAAGCUUUCCAUGGACUUCAGUGAGAUGUGGAUCCAGCCCACAGGAAGCAGUUGUAAGAGGGAUGUUUCUGCAGAUAUCUAUAAAAGAGAAGGAUGCAAAUCCAAGCCAUGGUAUCAUGAAUAUAUGCUGUAUCCAAGUUGAUCUGACUUUACAAACUGAAAUUUUAGCACCAGAUUUUCUGGUGUGAUGCGUCCACUUUGCACCAUACCCCAAGUGUAUUUUGGCCUUACAGCAUCUUAACCAGCCCACAGGGAAUCACUCUAGUGUAAGACUGAUCUUCCAGAGUCACACAGAUGAUAUAGGGGCUCUGAGCCCAUCCCACUCUCUGCUUUCUGUGUUGCAGAGGGAAGGGGCCAAGGCCAGGAUAACACCAAUCCUCAGCUGCAUUUUUUGCCGUGGUGGAUGUUGCAGGCAUAAUUUAGAGCAGCCAUUAGGUUGCUCUAACUCAUUACAAGAGCCUCAAUCUUCCCAGAAUAGGAACAAGAUUAUGAGAGUGGAAAUGUGAGCUUUAUGCCAACUUCGUAUAGCACCCUUGAUAUGUGCUAUAUGAAGUUUACCCACAUGCCUGGAUCUGGCCUGUACUGCAUAUCAGACCUGAUUUUUAUUUACACUAAAGCUGCUUUACCCCACUCUGGCAGUGCAAAGAGGUCUCAGUGUAAACAAGAAUGAGGGAGUCGUCUUUGUCUACAACAUAAUGAAGUUUAAAUGCUUAGUAAAAGAUAGUGCCCUUGUUGUUUAGGGUUUCAGGGUAACCUAAGCACUCAUCAACACUAAUGAGGCCAACAGUCUAACAGCUGGAUUGUUAAGGAAAACUGAGCAUUGACUAAUAUAUUUUAGAGAGCCAAAGAAGUUAAUCAUAUAUUGGUCAAUUAGUGUCAAAGAAUUUAGUUGGUUUGCUUAGAGUAAUAAUUUAAAUAAUGAAAUAUUUUAUAGCGAUAGGAAGGACAGGGUGACACUCUUACUUUAGUGGACAUUUUUCUAAUAGCAGCAGUUGAUCCAACACAACUAGUUCUUUUAGUUUAGCACAUUGUUGCCUGAACUAAUUGAUACUUUUGCAGUUGAAAAAAGAACACCAGCUGGACUUUUUAGUCUGGAAUUUGUUCAUGUACCAGAUGGUACUUAUUGAUUGAUGAAGUGGAUAGUUAGGGAGAAGAGCGCCCUCUGCAGCACAGUUUCUAAUCUGCCAGCUAGAGUUUUCAAAGGACUAACUCAUUACCACCAAUACUAACUCUUCAGCAACUGGGAAUUUUUGUCACCAAUAAAAAUACUAGUUCUUCAGCAACUGAAAAUGUGGUCCAUAUUUUAAAAAACAAUGCAAAAGGGGAAGGUGCAUUAAGGAUGCCAUGAAGUUUCAUA